rnacentral:rRNA from 1 species
CCGAGGAGUCUGGCUGGCGUGCGAGUCGCUGGGUAUGUCGAAACCCGCGGGCGCAACGAAAGUGAAGGUCGGCCUUCGCGGUCGGCUGAGGUGCAACUCCGUGUCCACCGGGCGCGGAUGCAGCACCGGCCCAUCUCGGACGCCUCGUCGUCGAGGUGGCGCACGAGCACGUCUGCUGGGACCCGAAAGAUGGUGAACUAUGGCUGAGUAGGUCGAAGCCAGAGGAAACUCUGGUGGAAGUCCGUAGCGAUUCUGACGUGCAAAUCGAUCGUCUGACUUGGCUAUAGGGGCGAAAGACUAAUCGAACCGUCUA